UCUUAAAAAAGACUAAUAUAUUUAAUAAUAAUUAAACUUAUCUUGGAUCAGAACAAACUUCGUUAAAAAGUAGUCAAACAGUCGUAGUUCCAAAUGUAAAUACUGCGAAAACGUGAAAGCAAUAAAAACUAUUAGAAAGGAUAAAGUAAGUAUAAGCAACAUUUAUGCGAAAAUUAUUUAUUGUUUGAAAUUUCAAAUUAUUUGGCGCUAAUACUUGCUGGUACUUGUGGAGCCGCGGCAUGUGCUGCCUAUGUACUAAGGAACGCCACCGCAUGCACCGCCAUACAACAAAUCUUUCGUGUCCCCCUAGCACCAACGGAUAGUAAAAUUAAAAAUGAACAUAUCAACAAAUAUUCAAAGUAAUCGUACGGCCGCUAAGUGUAUUCACAUUUAGAAGGUAGAAUAUGUUCACAAAAGUUUACUUUAAUCAUGUCAGGAUGCAUACAUAAAUUAUCUUAAUUAAGAUUGUUUUUAGGAAUUAGAAUAUUAAAUUUAUUUCUGCACAAUUUAUAAUACUGUUUUACUGUCUAAACAAUUUAAAUGUGAAAGAAUGCGUUUUAACAAAAA